ACACGGAGGGUUUUGGCAUUAGUAAACGGCGAGUGAGCGGCAAAAGCUCAAAUUUGAAAUCUGGCACCUUCGGUGUCCGAGUUGUAAUUUGAAGAAGGUAACUUUGGAGUUGGCUCUUGUCUAUGUUCCUUGGAACAGGACGUCACAGAGGGUGAGAAUCCCGUGCGAUGAGAUGCCCAAUUCUAUGUAAAGUGCUUUCGAAGAGUCGAGUUGUUUGGGAAUGCAGCUCUAAGUGGGUGGUAAAUUCCAUCUAAAGCUAAAUAUUGGCGAGAGACCGAUAGCGAACAAGUACAGUGAUGGAAAGAUGAAAAGAACUUUGAAAAGAGAGUGAAAAAGUACGUGAAAUUGUUGAAAGGGAAGGGCUUGAGAUCAGACUUGGUAUUUUGCGAUCCUUUCCUUCUUGGUUGGGUUCCUCGCAGCUUACUGGGCCAGCAUCGGUUUGGAUGGUAGGAUAAUGACUAAGGAAUGUGGCUCUACUUCGGUGGAGUGUUAUAGCCUUGGUUGAUACUGCCUGUCUAGACCGAGGACUGCGUCUUUUGACUAGGAUGUUGGCAUAAUGAUCUUAAGCCACCCGUCUUAAAAACCGGGACCAAAAAAAAAAAAUAAAAAAUAAAGCCCCAAUAAAAAACCCACCCCUCCCUUUGUUUUAUUCCAGGCAAACUCCAAACACCUUUUAAGUAGAAACCCGCCUUACCUGG
rnacentral:rRNA from 1 species